CCACAUAAGCAGGUGAAACUUCUUAGAGGAACUGGCGCCCGAAAAGGCGCACGAGAAAGAGCAAUAACAGGUCUGUGAUGCCCUAAGAUGUCCGGGGCCGCACGCGUGCUACAAUGACGAUGCUACUGAGCAUGAUUAACUUGUCCGAAAGGAUUGGUGAAACUGUUCAAUCAUCGUCGUGACUGGGAUUGGGGUUUGCAAUUGUCCCCCAUGAACCAGGAAUUCCUAGUAAGCACAAGUCAUAAGCUUGUGCUGAUUACGUCCCUGCCCUUUGUACACACCGCCCGUCGCUACUACCGAUUGAAUGGUUUAGCAAGGACAUUGGAUUGAGCCCUUGCGGUUUCGGCUGCUUGGGUUUAAGAAGAUGUCCGAACUUGAUCAUUUAGAGGAAGUAAAAGUCGUAACAAAGGUUUCCGUAGGUGAACCUGCGGAAGGAUCAUUA
rnacentral:rRNA from 1 species